AAGGAAAGUAUUGCAAGCAACAGUGGUCGCUGCUGGAUCGGGUUCUAACGGGAAGGGUGGAGAGAUUCAACCAGGUAGCGUGAGAGUUGGAGAUGAAGUUCUUCUCCCAGAAUACGGAGGCACCAAAGUAGUUCUAGAUGACAAGGAUUAUUUCCUAUUCAGAGAUGGUGACAUUCUUGGAAAGUACGUAGACUGAAAUAAGUCACUACUGAAAUGGCAUCAAUGUGACACUGUCCAUUCCACGGAAGUUCUGAAAUCUUUCAUCAUGUAAAUCACUUCCAUAUCUCUCUUUUAUAAUAAACCAGUGAUAACUGAUGACAAAAAAGGAAGAACAGAAUAUUAACUAGUAUCUCAGCAGCUUUCUGUAAGCUUCUCCCUGAUUGCUUCUCUCUCCCUUCCUUCCUGAAGUAAGUGCUAUUUUUAAUUUUGUAUUUAUAUAUUUAUAUAUAUAUAUAUUUUGUAGAUACGGAAUCUCAGUCUGUUCCCCAAGGUGGUCUCAAACUCAUUGGCUUAAGUGAUCCCCCAUCUCAGCCUCCCUAAGUGCUGGGACUACAGGCAUGAGCCACUGUGCCCAGCUUGUACUGUCAUCUUGUGUAUACUUGCAUCGUCUAGUUUUCGUGGUUUAUCGACGGUGUUUAUGGAUUAAGGAAGUUGGUCCUUUGUGAAGUCAGCUGCAGAUUCCUCUCUGCCAUUUGUUCUGAUGUUCCUUCUGUGGUCUCUGCCAAGUAGUUGAAUCUUCUAUAGUUUUUGAAGUCUGCGUUACGCUUGGACAAAUCUUCCCCACUGCGAGAUUGUUGAAAAGAAAAUUCCCCCUUUAAUGAACAGUUUCCUUUUCCUCUUUUCAAUUGUUUUUUUUUUCUUUUUUUGAGGCAGAGUCUCGCUCUAUCACCAGGCUGGAGUGCAGUGGCACAAUCUCAGCUCAUUGCACCCUCUGCCUCAGGGCUCAAGUGAUUCUCCUGCCUCGGUCUCUUCAGUACCUGGAAUGACAGGCAUCUGCCACCACAGAUGGCUAAUUUUUAUAUUUUU
rnacentral:lncRNA from 1 species